rnacentral:misc_RNA from 1 species
UGGCUCUCGCAUCGAUGAAGAACGCAGCGAAAUGCGAUAAGUAAUGUGAAUUGCAGAAUUCAGUGAAUCAUCGAAUCUUUGAACGCACCUUGCGCUCCUUGGUAUUCCGAGGAGCAUGCCUGUUUGAGUGUCAUUAAAUUCUCAACCAUUAUCACUUUUUGCUGAUAAUGGCUUGGAUAUGGGGGUCUAUUUUGCUGGCUUCUUUACGGAUGGUCAGCUCCCCUUAAAUGCAUUAGCCGGUGCCCCGCGUGGACUGUCUAUUGGUGUGAUAAUUAUCUACGCCGUGGACAUCUGCAAUCAUAUGGGUUUGCACUGCUUCCAACCGUCUGUUCAAUCAGACAAUACAUGACAAUUUGACCUCAAAUCAGGUAGGACUACCCGCUGA